rnacentral:rRNA from 1 species
AUUGAACGCUGGCGGCAUGCCUUACACAUGCAAGUCGAACGGUAACAGGUCUUCGGAUGCUGACGAGUGGCGCACGGGUGAGUAAUACAUCGGAACGUGCCCAGACGUGGGGGAUAACGAGGCGAAAGCUUUGCUAAUACCGCAUACGAUCUAAGGAUGAAAGCAGGGGACCGCAAGGCCUUGCGCGUUUGGAGCGGCCGAUGGCAGAUUAGGUAGUUGGUGGGAUAAAAGCUUACCAAGCCGACGAUCUGUAGCUGGUCUGAGAGGACGACCAGCCACACUGGGACUGAGACACGGCCCAGACUCCUACGGGAGGCAGCAGUGGGGAAUUUUGGACAAUGGGCGAAAGCCUGAUCCAGCAAUGCCGCGUGCAGGAUGAAGGCCUUCGGGUUGUAAACUGCUUUUGUACGGAACGAAAAGGAUCUGGCUAAUACCUGGGGCACAUGACGGUACCGUAAGAAUAAGCACCGGCUAACUACGUG